rnacentral:lncRNA from 1 species
ACAUGAAUAAUGUCUUUAAGUAAAUAUUUUUCCUUUGAAGGCAAAGCUUCAUAAAGAUAAAAGAGAGUUUCAUUCAUGCACGCCAUGUAAGUAACCAUAUGAUUACAACCCAAAAUAAAUACUACUAUUGUCUAUGUAAUCUCUAUGAUACGGAAUCGAAUAGUCAACCAAAGCAAAACCUGGUGGCUCAAAAGGAUAGUAAUAUAAUAAAGUCCUCCACGAAUACUAGCGUGGAGUCUCACCAAAUAACGUCAACGGGAAAAUGUAGAUCUACCUUAUCCACAUGGUCCAAGCUUCUCAAGUCCAGUUCCUGAAAAUAGAAAUAAAAAUGUGGACGAAAAGCCUAAGCUCCACAUGCCUAGUACGAAUCAUGAAUUGUUCCCCAAAAGAAAAUAGGACAAAAUUUAAGAAGAUACAAGAUAUGCAAUAAUAAUUGAUAUCAAGAAAGAAGCCUUCAUAUCAAUUAAUAAUUUUGAAAAUAAAAUAAAAUAAUAUGGUAAAACAUAUUUCAAAGUUUCCUUUAGCAAUAAUCUUUGCAAAUCAUGUUAGAUUUUUCAUUUACCGGGAGCACCUUGACAUGACCGACACGAAAGGAGGUCAACUAGGUUAUGUACCUAGCGGCAAGUAUCAUAUACCCUACUUGCUCGGGUCGUCUCAUAGUUGUGUUGUACGAAUCGACUCAUCUGUGCUAAUAAAGUAGCAUAAUAGUACCCCCUAAUGGGAAGUACUCUGUCGUAGUUUCCAACUGUAAGGUGGGUUCUACGCCUACACUGGCACGUGUAGUUUUAUGACCUAAUAAGGAAAAGUAUCCAAGGCCAAUCUCGGUGAACUUAAGUAACUCUCAAAACCUUUACAUUUAUCAAUGACGAUAUUCGUAGCCAAAUCAACUAUUUGAGAAUAGUUAAAUCCAAGAUAUUUCACAACUCAUAUAUUUCCAUUUCAAAAUACUACAAGUGUUAUUCCUCAUUUAUUUAUUUAAAAUUUGAGUAACAUUUCAAGAAAAUAAUAUUCAUAGCACUUAAAGAUUUUAUGAUGCAAGAAAUGGCACAAUCCCGACUCGCCCCGACUCGCUCGUGCCCACAAGCUAGGACUCACAUGUAGAAAAUCAAUUUAAUCAUUGUUUGGAGAAAAGCUCCGAGGGUAAUAAGUUUUAACGUACCUCAAAUAGCUUCCAAUCUUACCCCAAAUGAUCCAAUAAUGCCGAUGAGUCGCAAUCUACAUAUACAAACUCACAUAAUUUAAUAACACGUCACAACAAUACCAACUAAGCCAACUAAGUGUCUAAUACUUAAGUCCAACUUAAUAAGUUUAUCAAAAAUCACCAUUUCAUCAUUUGAAGGUCAAUCCUUGAAUUAUAAUAUCAACUCAUUCAUUAAACUUGUUAUUGGAUCUAGUCGUUCCACUAGAAACUCAAAAUAACAUCGUUCAAGCAAGACCCAACAAUAUUCAUUAUUCCUACCAACCAACUCUUAUAUGGUUUCAUGAAUAGAUAUUUAAAUACAAAUUCAUCUUCAUAAACAUACUUUACUACGUCCAUGGAGUAUAAUAUAUAAGUUUGGAGUAAAGAUAUUACCUCUUUGUCAAACCCUAGAAAAUUCAAGAUUUGAGUUGUUGAAGUGUUCUUGAGAUUUUCUUCAAGAAUCUAUAAUUUCCAAGUAGUUGAAGAGUUAAGAGAUGUAUUUAAUGAACUAAAUCUAUGAAUAAAGAAUUAAAUUCUUACCUUAAAGGUGUAUUAAUGAUAGAGAGUUCUUUUCUCUUUCUAUGUCUUCAAAGAUAAAGCCCCAAAAU